CUCUAGGUAUCAACUUUAUGUCAGACCUACCCUGGUUUAGUAAGUGUUACCUUUUUUCGUUACAGUUUCUCCUCCUUUGGUCUGGAUUAUUGGACACUCUUUCGUCCACAGAGCGAGAGCUAGAGCAGAACAACGAACCUACACAACUAAUUUAGGCAUUAAAGAUGUUAGAAUUGUCUGGAUGGGCAUUCGAGGCCUUAAAUGGCCAGAUUUAUUACCAAUAAUUUUGCAAAUGAAAUCUCGUUGGGGUUUCCCAGCAAUUAUUCUGAUCCAUUUAGCUGGAAAUGACAUUGGAAAGGGUAGAAACAUUGAUUUAAUUCGUAAUAUAAAAAGAGACCUUGCUCAGAUCAGAUUUAUUUUUCCCAAUACUGUGAUAAUUUGGUCUGAAGUUGUGCCCAGAUUAGUCUGGCUUCAAGAUGCAGGCUUUCACCCCCUUGAGAGAUGCCGCAAAAAACUCAAUUUUGCUAUCUCAAAAUUUUCCAAGACAGUUAAUAUUUUGGUUUAUAGGCACUAUGAGUUGGAGCAAGGUUUUGAAGGCCUGUAUCGUGCGGACAGGGUACAUUUGUCAGAUAUCGGUUUUGACAUUCUGAACAUGGGAUUCCAAAGUGCAAUUGAAAGAGCUUUACAUGUGUGGGGAAUGGCCAAGGCCAAUGUAAUGGUUUAAUUGGCCUUGACGUGGAGGUAUGCUCCUGGCUAGGUAAAAAAAUUGGCGGGGCUUAAGGAUAUUUGUGGUCAAGCUUUAAGGCGGUCCGCUGCAGAGAUCUGAUGCAGAGGCUGGCUGGGAAGAUAUGUAUGAACAGGUAUUAGUAUCAUUAGCAAUAUUAAUGUUCUGAUUGAUAUGAUAUUUAAUAAACAACAGCUGCGGCCAUUCUCCACCA